CCCACAAGAUGGCAUUGCCUCUCUCCUCAGACUCACUUUGUUUGAAAUCAGCAUGUUUGUAUUGAAAGCAGAAGAUUAAGUUUCCUUUGAUUGGCUGGGGUGAGAGCUGCGUCUUCCAUGAUCCCCCUAAAGAAGAAGAAUGGAGAAGCUUCUGGUUCUGUCUUUGGUGAUUCUGUGGCUUCAGCUGGCCAAGGUGAAUAGCCAGUAAGGAAAACAGAAUCUUCAGACCCUGAGCAUCCAGGAGGGUGAAAAUGUCACCAUGAACUGCAGUUAUAAAAGUAUUACUAUAACUGCCUUACAGUUGUACAGACAGGAUUCAAGGCGAGGCUUUGUUCAUCUGAUUUUUAAUGAGUUCAAAUGAGAGACAGAAAUAUAGCGGGAGACUACACUUCACACUUGACAACUCCAUCAAAAGCAGUUCCUUGUCCAUCACGGCUUCCCAGGCUGAGGACGCGGCUACUUACCUCUGUGCU